rnacentral:rRNA from 1 species
AUGCACGCUGGCGGCGUGCCUCAUACAUGCAAGUCGCGCGAACAGACGAGGAGCUUGCUCCUCUGACGUUAGCGGCGGACGGGUGAGUAACACGUGGAUAACCUACCUAUAAGACUGGGAUAACUUCGGGAAACCGGAGCUAAUACCGGAUAAUAUAUUGAACCGCAUGGUUCAAUAGUGAAAGACGGUUUUGCUGUCACUUAUAGAUGGAUCCGCGCCGCAUUAGCUAGUUGGUAAGGUAACGGCUUACCAAGGCAACGAUGCGUAGCCGACCUGAGAGGGUGAUCGGCCACACUGGAACUGAGACACGGUCCAGACUCCUACGGGAGGCAGCAGUAGGGAAUCUUCCGCAAUGGGCGAAAGCCUGACGGAGCAACGCCGCGUGAGUGAUGAAGGUCUUCGGAUCGUAAAACUCUGUUAUUAGGGAAGAACAAAUGUGUAAGUAACUAUGCACGUCUUGACGGUACCUAAUCAGAAAGCCACGGCUAACUACGUG